CCCAAAGAAGCCGACAGACCUGAGCGCUUACAUACCAUGUUAACAAAGAAUGAUAAAUUGUAGAGCUGUGACAAGACAAGGCAAAGGGUCUUGGGCUAUGCACAGUGAACUGUGGGAAAAUGACCAGGAAAUAUAUGGUGAAAAUUAAUGGAAGAUAAGACUUAUUUUAGUGUUUGUACAGAUUCAUCUCAGUUUCCAUGCCUCACUUCUGUUGAUAAGAAUGUUCUCAAAAAGUAAAGGAAACCAAGAUCUGCGCAGGGGUUUCCUCUGCCCAUUCCUCCCACCUCACCCUUCAAACCUAAACUUGAGCCUGUUGCUCACUGGGCUAGCAUUGCUCUCACCAUGGCUCUCAGCAAUGCUGAUGUGCAAAAGCAGAUAAAGCAUAUGAUGGCUUUCGUUGAACAAGAAGCCAAUGAGAAAGCAGAAGGAAUAGAUGCAAAGGCAGAAGAAGAGUUCAACAUAGAGAAAGGUUGGCUUGUGCAAACCCAAAGGCUAAAGAUUAUGGAAUAUUAUGAGAAGAAAGAGAAACAGAUUGAGCAGCAUAAGAAAAUUCAGAUGUCCAAUUUGAUGAAUCAAGCAAGACUCAAAGUCCUCAGAGCGAGAUGACCUUAUCACAGGUUUGUACCAGUUGCUGGAGCCCUGAAUGAUUGAUUGUUGCAGGAAACAAGAUUUCCCUCUGGUAAAGGCUGCGAUGGAAAAGGUAAUCCUUAUGUACAAAAUUGCCACCAAAAAAGAUGUUGAUGUCCAAAUUGACCAGGAGUCCUGCCUGCUGGAGGACAUAGCUGGUGCAGUUGACAUAUAUAAUGGGGAUCGUAAAAUAAAGGUUUCCAAUACCCUGGAAAGCUGGCUGGAUCUCAUAGUCCAGCAGAUGAUGCCAGAAGUCAGGGGGGCUUGUUCAGGGCAAAUGCCAACAGGAAGUUUUUGGACUAAGCCUUUGGGAGGUGGAGCUCGUCCUUAGCUCUCCUGCUGUGAUGUGGAAGCUUCUGAUAUUUGAAGAAACACAAAUGUCUCUGUAGCUUCCCCUUUACUGCCCCAGUGUUGCUCUGUAUUUAUCAGUGAUGCCCCUCUGUCACCAAUGCCUUGCCUAAUUGUUCACAGUGGUGGAAAGCUUCAUGUAAUAUGAUCAGGACUCACCUCCAGUUCAUCCAA